UUGGAAAGAGAGUUAAACAGUACGUGAAAUUGCUGAAAGGGAAACGCUUGAAGUCAGUCGUGUCUGCCAGGACUCAGCCUCGCUUCUGCUUGGUGCACUUUCUGGUCGGAUGGGCCAACGUCAAUUUCGACCGUCGGAGAAAGGCUUUGGGAAUGUGGCACUUUCGGGUGUGUUAUAGCCCUUUGUCGUAUGCGGCGGUUGGGAUUGAGGACUGCAGCACGCCUUUAUGGCCGGGGUUCGCCCACGUACGUGCUUAGGAUGUUGGCAUAAUGGCUUUAAGCGACCCGUCUUGUAACACGGACCAAGGAGUCUAACAUGCCUGCGAGUGUUUGGGUGGAAAACCCAUGCGCGUAAUGAAAGUGACAGCUGAGAUCCUCUCAUCAGGAGCAUCAGCACCUGGACUUGAUCUACGGAGAUGGUUCUACGGUAGAGCAUGUAUGUUGGGACCCGAAAGAUGGUG
rnacentral:rRNA from 1 species